UCGAGAAUCUUCGGCAAUGGGCGCAAGCCUGACCGAGCGACGCCGCGUGGUGGAAGAAGGCCUUCGGGUUGUAAACACCUGUUGGGGGGGAGCAAAACCGAGCGAACCCCUGAGGAAGCACGGGCUAAGUUCGUGCCAGCAGCCGCGGUAAGACGAACCGUGCGAACGUUAUUCGGAAUUAUUGGGCUUAAAGGGCGCGUAGGCGGCCGUUUAAGUGGGGGGUGAAAUCCUGGCGGCUCAACCGCGGGAGUGCCUUCCAUACUGGGCGGCUAUGAGGGAGGUAGGGGCCGGUGGAACUUCCGGUGGAGCGGUGAAAUGUGUUGAGAUCGGAAGGAACGCCUGUGGCGAAAGCGACCGGCUGGACCUUUUCCUGACGCUGAGGCGCGAAAGCCAGGGGAGCAAACGG
rnacentral:rRNA from 1 species